ACUUGGAGAUUUUUCGGCAUCAAUGGGCGCAUUUGGAAAGAAUUGGACUUCAUUAUCCUCACUUGCUUCAAACUGGAAGAGCAACUCCUCCUGACCAACCUUAGUGAAGUUGAACUUGCUUCCAUCAAAAGGCUGCAGCACCUUAUCAACGCGAAACUCAGUUGGCCUCUUCUUGAGGUGCCUUCCCUCAUUCAGCUGAGCAACGAAACCAUAUUCUCCAGGAAUAACCUAAAGCAAUUUAUUCUCUUCUUGAGGUGCCUUCCCUCAUUCAGUUGAGCAAUGAAACCAUAUUCUCCAGGAAUAACCUAAACAAAUUUAUUAUUAAAUUAAAGUUAGGCAGAUUCACAAAUGAAAAAUACUUGCUUCACAUUAGUCAAAACCAGCAAGACUCCAAAGCAAAAACAUGAUAAGAGCGAGCAAUGUACUACUAUAUCACAGCACAUACUUCCACGCACCUAAACAAAAAGCUAGUCCAAUUUUCUUUCAAUUCAUUUUGGGUUUUGAAAAUUCAAGAGCAUAUCAUUUGUAUCAACACUGUACUGCAAUAUGUUACAGUAAGACAUAAA
rnacentral:lncRNA from 1 species